UCCUUUCCGAGUCCCCAAAGUCAAUUAU
rnacentral:piRNA from 1 species